rnacentral:rRNA from 1 species
AUUGAACGCUGGCGGCAGGCUUAACACCUGCAAGUCGAACGAGUGGCGGACGGGUGAGUAAUGCUUGGGAAUCUAGCUUAUGGAGGGGGAUAACUACGGGAAACUGUAGCUAAUACCGCGUACCAUCAGAUGAACCCAUAUGGGAUUAGCUUGUAGGUGAGGUAACGGCUCACCUAGGCGACGAUCACUAGCGGGUCUGAGAGGAUGAUCAGACACACUGGGACGGAGACACGGCCCAGACUCUCACGGGAGGCAGCAGUGGGGAAUAUUGCACAAUGGGCGCAAGCCUGAUGCAGCCAUGCCGCGUGUAUGAAGAAGGCCUUCGGGUUGUAAAGUACUUUCAGUCGGGAGGCGUUACCCGCAGAAGAAGCACCGGCUAACUCCGUGCCAGCAGCCGCGGUAAUUC